rnacentral:rRNA from 1 species
CAGUCGCCGCGGGAAUACGUAGGUGGCAAGCGUUGUCCGGAAUUAUUGGGCGUAAAGCGCGCGCAGGCGGUUGUGUAAGACAGGUGUGAAAUCCCCGGGCUUAACCUGGGAACUGCGCUUGUGACUGCACAGCUAGAGUAUGGCAGAGGGGGGUGGAAUUCCACGUGUAGCAGUGAAAUGCGUAGAGAUGUGGAGGAACACCGAUGGCGAAGGCAGCCCCCUGGGCCAAUACUGACGCUCAUGCACGAAAGCGUGGGGAGCAAACAGGAUUAGAUACCCCAGUAGUCCCUGUCUCUUAUAC